rnacentral:lncRNA from 1 species
CCUCCACCCAGUGGAUGUAGUUCAGCCUCAAGGGGACGGUGGGAAUGAGCCUUUCCAGGGGGAUGUCAAUGAUAACGUACACGCAAACAUGCAAAAAUCCCAUUUUCCUGAAGGUGGCUGUCUAAGAUCAGAGUUGCUUCUGAUUGGAAGAAGUGUUUACUAUAAAUAACCUCUAAUAGGCAUUCCUCUGAGCAAACAGCAGUGAAAGCUCAUCUGGAGGUGGAGGGCGAGCGAGGAAGACCAUUGGAAGAAGCAAAAGGCCAAAAGGCUGUCGGUUGGACUGUCAUGAUGCUGAAAGGACGCUAGGCGGUAGAAGAGACCAUGGAGUAGAGGACUGGAAACCUCAUCAAUCACUACCUGAGAUGGGCGUGUGUGUAAUUAUCUCGCAGGUAAUCAGUGAGUGUGUUACUACCUGUGGAAAUAGAAUGGACUCUGAAUCACGUCAUCUUGGAAGGACUUAUGGUGGAAAUAUCCCCAGGGCUUCCCGGUGCUGCUAAAUAAAGAACACCUGACUUAAUGCUAACAAAACCUUGUUCUGUUUCUGCGCACUGAUUUCUCCUGUUCGCUUCUCACAGCUACACCCACGACGUGCCAGAAUGGCUUCGUUACUCUGAAGGCAUCUUUAAAACCUCUCAGCGCUGUGAAUUGCUUUCUGUGUCAUCAGUUUGGGCCUGCAGCCCCUCCCGGCCUGGCAGCAGCCUGCCAUUGGCAUACCUGGUUUCCCCACUUCAGAUCCAUAACACAAAGAGCUCGUACUUCCAGUUAUUAUCAUACUGCCGUUUGCUGAACACGCAUUUUGAAAGACACAUAAAAAGGACUUCAUAAUGAGCUUUGAUUUUAAAAAGUGGCAAAACAAAGGCUAAAACUGGGACUUAAAGCCGGCUUCAGCUCCCAGCUGUGUCAUUGACAGCUUGGGCACAUUUCAUUCCCAAGUGCCAAGUUCUCCCAUCAAUACAGGAGGAACUUACUGUCUGAAUACAGUGUGUUGGUUCCUCAGAUAACUUGGAUAAAAGCAUACCUCAGCAAGAGUGACAUUAAAGUACAAUCUAUUAUUCUUCUAUUCGUUUUCCAGGCUGGAUGUGGCUCUGGGCAGCCCGGUCUGGUGGUUGGUGACCCUACACAUAGCGGGGGGGUUGAAACUCGAUGAUCAUUGUGGUCCUUUUCAACCCAGGCCAUGCUAUGAUUCUAUUAUUCUAUGAUUUUUUCCUUGUUAAACUUCCAAAUGCUUGCAUGUUGUUUCAAAAUUAAGUACGUAGGCAUCCCCAUUUGACUCUCAAAUGUCUGAAAUGACUUUGCAGCUGGGUUUGCUUUCAGUCCUAGCUCCUGCCCUCACAGCUGUCUGUGUCCUAAGGGCAGCCAAGCUGCUAAGCUUCACACAGAAAAGACUAAUUUUAUUAUCUAUUUUCUUAAACACACACCUUUUUUUACCAGAGCAACAUCCCAACUCGUGUACAGCCCACCCUUUCCGCUUCUGGAAGUCAUUCUCCACAGUCUGCCCCCACCCACAGCCAAAGAAGUGAAGCUGAUGUGGACAAAAGCAGAAUGGAGGCAGAGUCAAAAAUACGAAUUUUAAUUUGGAGUACUUAGUGUAUUUACAGUAGAAGGGUUCUCUCUAGUCAAGGGACAACAGAUUUUUUUAAAAAUCCACAUUCACAAAUAUGUGGACCUGCACCUGAUGCAGGCUAAUUGCUUUUUGCUACUUCUGCUGCACUCAGGCAACAGCCAUGAGAAAAUGCUGGUGUGAGCUUGUAGAUGGAAUCAGAUGUCUCUUACACCCAAGUAGCACUUACACAAUGGAGUCCAGAAAGUAGUGUGAAGUUAUCCAACAGCUGCUAAAAAAUGUCUCAUAUAUAUGUACAUAUAUGCAGUCCCAUUUGCAGCCAGGAUUCAAUGAUUCAGUGAAUCAUUCAGGGAGAGACAGGCAAGCAGGCACAAGCCUACCAACCUGUGUGCAAGCACAGAUCUGCAGGGACACUCACUGCCAGGUACAAAGGUACCUCCUCACCCA